rnacentral:lncRNA from 1 species
CGAGUGUGGAUCAGUGGGAAGACGAAGGAUUCCAGUCAGCGUCCAACUUGACUCCUGAUUCCCAGUCUGAGCCCAGCGUGACCCCAGACGUGGACCUGUGGGAAGCCGCACUUACCUAUGAGGCCAGCAAGCGGAGCCCCCCUGGCCACAGAGAGGAGCCUUACCUGACGGAGGCGGGAAGGGACGCUUUCGACAAGUUCUGCAGGCUCCACCAAGGGGAGCUCCAGCUGCUUGCUGGGGGCGUCCUACAGGCCCCGCAGCCCGUGCUGGUGAAGGAGUGCGAGCUGGUGAAAGACGUGCUGAACGUCUUGAUUGGGGUCGUGUCUGCCACGUUUUCGCUCUGCCAGCCGGCCCAGGCCUUUGUGGUGAAGCGGGGCGUCCACGUGUCAGGAGCGUCUCCCGAGAGCAUCAGCAGCCUGCUCUCGGAAGUGGCCGAGUAUGGGACCUGCUACACGCGCCUGAGUCAUUUCUCUCUGCAGCCCGUCCUGGACUCUUUGUACAGCAAGGGCCUCGUGUUCCAGGCCUUCACCAGUGGCCUGAGGAGGUACCUGCAGUAUUACCGGGCCUGCGUCCUUUCCACUCCGCCCACCCUGAGCCUCCUCACCAUUGGUUUUCUCUUCAAGAAACUUGGCCGGCAGCUCAGGUACCUGGCCGAGCUCUGUGGCGUUGGCGCUGUGCUCCCGGGCACCUGUGGAGGAGGCCCCAGGGCCGCGUUUCCCACCGGCGUGAAGCUGCUGUCCUACCUCUACCAGGAGGCUCUGCACAACUGCAGCAACGAGCACUACCCUGUACUGCUGUCCCUGCUGAAGACCAGCUGCGAGCCCUACACC